UUAAAUGGCCGCGGUAUUUUGACCGUGCUAAGGUAGCAUAAUCAUUAGUUUUUUAAUUGAAAGCUAGAAUGAAGGGUAGGAUGAAAAAUUGGCUGUCUCUAUUAAAUUAAUAUGGAAUUUUAUUUUUAAGUUCAAAAGCUUAAAUAUUUUUAAAAGACGAGAAGACCCUGUAGAGUUUUAUAAAAUUGAGGCGUUUUUUAUUUAGAAAUUUAAUUUAAGAUUUUUUAUUUUUAUUUAAUUGGGGUGAUUUAAAAAUUUAACUAACUUUUUUUAUUAUGAUAUAUUAAUUUAUAGAUAAUUGAUCCAAAUAUUUUGAUUAUAAGAUAAAAUUACCUUAGGGAUAACAGCGUAAUUUUAUUAGAGAGUU
rnacentral:rRNA from 1 species